rnacentral:lncRNA from 1 species
CUGUACGCUUGCGCACCUGACCGGAUAAACAUGGCGGCCGAAUUGACGCAAUUGGUCGGUGCAACAGACCAACAAACCGAAAUGACUAAUGAGGAGUAAACAAGCGGAAGAUUUGUAGAAGGAUUCGAAAGAAAGAUGGCUGAGCCUAAGGAAAAGGUUAAGCGUUAUUUUACUGGAAAAAGAAGCGUUACAAAUGCUGACUUGCAUUAAUAAGCAUUCAUCGCUGGCGAGAUAAUACUUAUUGGAGGGCUUGAAAACGGUCGUGGGGAUUUUUUCAGCUUGACACAACAUUGACUCCACAUUGUUUUGUAAACAAGCCACAGUUUAAUGGAAGCUUGAAGUGAAAGAUGAAACAGUCAGCUGUACUGGAUCUGACAGCAAAUGCACUGCAAACUUGGGAGGACAGUUCGUUGAUGGCCAUGAGCAUCUCAGCUGGAGGUCGUGUCGAAAUUUCUCAUCUGUACCCAUGUGGAUAAUUCAUGCAUGAAUAAUGUGUGCUUAUUUAUUUCAAAGAAAAUAAAGUUGUAGUCUUUACUCUGGGG